UUUGGAUAAUAAUAAUAACUUCCUAAGUAAGAGCUAAUUAAUUUUGAAUUCGUAAAAUAUUGACCUAAAGUAGCAUCUCUGCAAGCAUGAAGUCCUGGGGAAUUGGCAGUACAUGACCAAUUGACCAAAGCACCAUUCACAUCCAUUGGUGAUGUGCAGCAUCUGACGAUGUCGAAAGGGGUCUCUUCUUGUUGAUAAUGUUGUGGCUAUAGAAAAUAUAUGAUUCAUAGGUGCAGCAAAAUCAUUGUUAGUUCAAAAAAAUUUAGUUUGUUAAAAAUAAUACAAUCACUGCGUUUGUUAAUCAAUCUAUAUGGAUGUAGAAUGUAACACUUUUAAGUAUUUGAAUACAGUAAUUUGAAGGAAUUCCCUGUUUAUUAGCAAGGAAGUUAUGAGUAGACAUCACUAAUUUGUAAAUUUGUUGAAGCAAAAUAACCGAUAAACUCAAAAAAAAACCAGCUGUCAAUCCUAAUAGGCCACACAGCUCUAUUUCUUGAAUAUGACUCAACAAUAUAGGUAGCAGCAUAUUCUUUCUAUACCCCUAGAAAAUCAAGAAAGAAAAUAUAUUUUCUUUGGCAUGACAUCACUGGUCUAACAACCUAAUAAAACAAUAAAAUGAGAUCACAUUUCUUACAGUAGAUCCAUGUAAAUGGUUCAGAAACCUAAAAACGAUUCGAUGAAAGAAUAAAAUGGUUCAGAAACCUUGAUUGCAUCCUUGACCUCACAACCUGAAAAAGAUCCAUGUAAA
rnacentral:lncRNA from 1 species